rnacentral:lncRNA from 1 species
UAUAUUGUCUGCACUCUCAGGAAUCCCUGGCAUGAGGCUCCAAGGACAUUUUGGGAUAAAUUAUGAAAAACCAGCACAUUGCAAAUGAGGACUGUAUAGCAUUCAUGUGCACGUUUCUGACACCGUUGCUUGAAAAACUUGCAGUUUCUGCUGCAGGUGCUGUUCUAGCUGGUGUAACAAGGUUCCAGUAUUUUAAGGCAAAUCACUCCGAAACAAUAAUUUCUUAUACCUUACCAG